rnacentral:tRNA from 1 species
AGGAUUGUGGCUCAGUGGCAGAGCACUUGCCUAGCAUGUGUGAGGCACUGGGUUUGAUCCCCAGCUUUCCAC